CUGGGAACCUCCAUAUGCCGUGGGUGCGGCCCUAGAAAAGGCAAAAGACAAAAAACAAAUCAAAACAAAAAUAUAUGGAUGAUAAAGACCCAGCUUCUGCCUUGACUCUAGAGGGGGAGCCAGGAGCAUAAACAAAGAAGCUGUGAUGAUAGAGCAUGAACAACAUGGUAAUCAAGGGGCUUAAAGAAGGCUUCUUAGGGAAGCAAGAGUUGAGAUAGGGGGGGCUGAAGAAUGAGGAGGUUUCCAGAUGAAACACACAGGUAUAUCUAGGGACCUGUGAUAAUGUAAGGGGAAGAAGUAUUUGUAUGUGUGUGUGUGUGUGGAUGGGGAGUGACGUCAGAAAGGGACAAGGGGCCAAAUGAUGAAAUGCCUUAUCCACCACACCGAAAGCAUACUCAGAGGCUGAGAGAGUCCAUGGUCAAUGGGAAUUCUGAGGGCCAAAGCAUGCCACCUGGGGGACCAGCCCUGCGUGGAGCACCAGCCAGUGGAGGGCUGCCAGGGUGGAGAGGCUCCGGAGAAGCACAGAAGCAGCUGCAGAAGUGAUGAGUGGGCAAUCUGCAGGUAAUUAGAUCUGUGUGUUUUGCAUCAGAGAGCUGAAAACCUAGCUCUGUGCUGGCCCCCAGUAGGGCAGAACAACCUUACCUGGUACCGUUGGCAGGCCUGAGGCAGAGGCAGAAACGAAGAGGACAAGAGCACAAGGAAAGGGAGGAAAGUAGUUGAAAGAAAAAGCAAGUUGAAAGCUGAGGUCUCUCUGGAGAUGAAGAUUCACACUCAUUUAACCUGCAUUGAAUGUAUUGAAUAACCCUACUAUAGGCUCGUACGAGAUGGAAUGUAAAAAAAAGCUAAAGUUGUCAUAAAGAACAGCGAAUAUAAUCUAUUAUCCAAUUUAAUAUACCCUGUCAUUCAGAUGCCCAGUCGGGGCCUCCAUGCUCACAUCAUACAUAUGUACAAAGUAGAAAAAGGCACCACUUCCCCAAGUCUUCUUCAAGCUCUAGCUCUAUCCCACUGAUUUUGUUUCUCUGGAGAACCUUGAUUGAUGCAAUUGAAGAUAAGGAUUUGAGGGGGCAAAUAUAUAGGUUUCCUGUGGGUCACAGGUGGAUUACAUGAAAAAACUGGAUUUUGGUCAUCUUAAAAGAGAUUCUACCAAAACUGUCUUUGUAAAGGAUGGUAGUAGGCCAUCUAAAGCUUCAGAAUGAAGACAUUUCAUCAAAGAAGACAUAUAGAUGGCCAACAGGCACAUGAAAAAAUGCUCAACAUCAGUAAUUAUUAGAGAAAUGCAAACCAGAACUACAAUGAGGUAC